AACGAACGCUGGCGGCAUGCCUAACACAUGCAAGUCGAACGAUUGCCUUCGGGUGAUAGUGGCGCACGGGUGCGUAACGCGUGGGAAUCUGCCCUUAGGUUCGGAAUAACAGCUGGAAACGGCUGCUAAUACCGGAUGAUAUCGCGAGAUCAAAGAUUUAUCGCCUGAGGAUGAGCCCGCGUUGGAUUAGGUAGUUGGUGGGGUAGAGGCCUACCAAGCCGACGAUCCAUAGCUGGUCUGAGAGGAUGAUCAGCCACACUGGGACUGAGACACGGCCCAGACUCCUACGGGAGGCAGCAGUGGGGAAUAUUGGACAAUGGGCGCAAGCCUGAUCCAGCAAUGCCGUGUGAGUGAUGAAGGCCCUAGGGUUGUAAAGCUCUUUUACCCGGGAAGAUAAUGACUGUACCGGGAGAAUAAGCCCCGGCUAACUCCGUG
rnacentral:rRNA from 1 species